CGCGCAGGGAUCUCAGGCUGCAGCCCUCCCCUUUUCAGUGCAUGCAGGAAGUUUAUCCGGCAGCACUUCUACCCGCCCCCGUGCCUAGGAGCAACAAGGGGUCAGACCCGGCCCCGGCCAGGCUGCGGGGAGUUCUCGGGCUGGUUUCCUCCUCACUACCGCUCCCUCCCUUAUGUCCCCCCGCCCCACCCACGCUCAUAGGACUCUCGCCGAGCUGGGGGUGCUCUGGCUGUGAGUCGGUUCCCGCGCCCCAGUUACUCCGCUGCGUCCCCUCCUGCUCCGUGCUGGGGGGGGGAGGGGGGUCAGCCUAUAGCCCUUUUCCCCGCGCAUUCAGGCAAGGGGGGGCGGGCUCUCCAGCUGCAGCCUGCACGCGGCUCGGCCCCUCGCUUGCGCCCCCGGGCCCAGCACCGCCCGCUUGCCCCGAGCGCCAGGGCGCGGCCCCACCCCGGGGCCGGGCGGAGGCAGGGGCGGGCGGGGGGUGUCUCCCAGUAAGAUCUCGCGGUGCUGGCGGGGCUCAGCCUCCUUCUCCUCCCUGGCGAGCGGUGACUGUGCAGGGCGGCGCGGGGAGCCAAGCAGCCGCCGGAGGAGGCUGCCCCGAGGACAGCGCGAUCCGCCCGCGCCGGCCGGCCGGCAGCAGCCCGCGCCUCGCCCAGCCCCAUGCCCGAGUGGCGCUGAGCCCAGCCCAGCAUGGCCACCACCGCCCCGUGCACCCGCUUCACCGACGACUACCAGCUCUACGAGGAGCUCGGCAAGGGAGCCUUUUCUGUGGUCCGCCGAUGUGUGAAGAAAAAUUCAUCCCAGGAAUAUGCUGCAAAAAUCAUCAACACCAAAAAGCUGUCAGCCCGAGAUCACCAGAAACUGGAACGUGAGGCCCGAAUCUGCCGACUUUUAAAACAUCCAAAUAUUGUGCGGCUCCAUGACAGUAUUUCAGAAGAAGGUUUCCACUACCUCGUCUUUGAUCUGGUCACUGGUGGAGAGCUCUUUGAAGAUAUUGUCGCCAGAGAGUACUACAGUGAAGCUGAUGCUAGCCACUGUAUUCACCAGAUACUGGAGAGCGUGAAUCACAUUCACCAGCAUGAUAUCGUGCACAGGGAUUUGAAGCCUGAAAACUUGCUACUGGCGAGUAAGUGUAAGAGUGCCGCUGUCAAACUGGCCGACUUUGGACUGGCUAUAGAAGUGCAGGGGGAGCAGCAGGCCUGGUUUGGGUUUGCUGGUACUCCAGGCUACCUCUCCCCUGAGGUGUUAAGAAAAGAUCCUUAUGGAAAACCAGUGGACAUAUGGGCAUGCGGAGUGAUUCUGUACAUACUGCUAGUGGGUUACCCUCCCUUUUGGGAUGAAGAUCAGCACAAGCUCUAUCAGCAGAUCAAAGCUGGAGCCUAUGAUUUCCCGUCACCUGAGUGGGACACAGUGACUCCAGAAGCAAAGAACUUGAUCAAUCAGAUGCUGACGAUAAACCCGGCUAAACGCAUCACGGCUGAUCAAGCACUCAAACACCCAUGGGUCUGUCAACGAUCCACUGUGGCCUCCAUGAUGCACAGACAAGAGACUGUGGAGUGCUUGAGGAAGUUCAAUGCCAGAAGAAAGCUGAAGGGUGCAAUCCUCACAACAAUGCUGGUCUCACGGAACUUUUCUGCUACCAAAAGCCUAUUGAACAAGAAGUCGGAUGGAGUGAAGAAAAGGAAGUCGAGCUCCAGUGUGCAUUUGAUGCCACAGAGCAACAACAAAACCAGUCUAGUAAGCCCAGCAAAAGAAACUCCCCCAGUGCAGACGUCCAUGGAGCCUCAAACGACUGUUGUCCACAAUGCCACAGAUGGCAUAAAGGGUUCCACAGAGAGCUGUAACACCACCACGGAAGAUGAGGAUCUGAAAGCUCCCCCUCUCUCCACCGGGGAUGGCAGCUCAGUGCUUGAAGGACGGAGGCACAGUGAGAGCAAAACACAGACUGAGUCCAUGCAGUCCCAGCUUUCUCUCUGUUUCUCAGCCACCACGCAGUCUUGUGAGGAGAAGCUUCUUGCCUGGGACAGCCCAGGGCAGACACUGGAGUUAGAGCGUGCUCAGUCGGAGCCUUUGCUAACUCCCGUAGUUCCGUUUGUACUUAACAGUGCAGCGUUGCGCAAACAAGAGAUCAUUAAGAUAACAGAGCAGCUGAUUGAAGCCAUCAACAAUGGAGACUUUGAUGCAUACACGAAGAUCUGUGACCCAGGCCUGACCUCGUUUGAACCCGAAGCACUGGGGAACCUAGUCGAGGGGAUGGACUUCCACAAGUUUUACUUUGAGAACUUACUGUCCAAGAACAACAAGCCAAUCCACACCACCAUCCUGAACCCCCACGUCCAUGUCAUUGGUGAAGACGCAGCCUGCAUUGCCUACAUCCGCCUGACUCAGUACAUCGAUGGCCAGGGCCGGCCCCGCACCACACAGUCUGAAGAGACCCGCGUCUGGCACCGUCGCGAUGGCAAGUGGCUGAACGUCCACUAUCACUGCUCUGGGGCCCCUGCCGCUCCGCUCCAGUGAGGAUCAAACACAGACAGGAUAUAGCAGAAUUACAGGAAGUCCAGUGAUGAGCAUAAUUUAGAGAUAUGAGAACCUCCAUGUGAAGAGAGAGGCAGAGAAGAAUUGGACUGUUACCAUAGAGCGGAGGGGAGUCCGAGAGGACGUGAUAAAGGUAUCCAAGCAGCUUUUGGAGAUACGCAGCUGGAGGGCAAUAUCUUCUAAGCAAGCAGCUCUGGAGUGCCUGAGUGACAGCGACGGUCAUGUCCGUUUUGACGUUUAAAAAAAAUUACAAAUUACAAAGCGGCAGCAGCCAAAUGCACGAAACCCUGCAUGCAUCUGAUGCUCCAGGCAUUGCCGCCUUUCUGUUGUUUUCCAUGGAUCCAUCGUGUCUGUUUCUGCUGUACGAAGGUGUUUUUUAAAUCUAAGAGAGACAUGUUGUUUGUAUUAAAAAAUAAAUAAAAUAAACCGGAAUAAUGAUAAAUAAAUGACAGACUGUCCAACACCCCCUCCCCCAGGGCUGACGAAAUGGCAUCAACUGGAGCAUCUUUCAGAAACCGAGCGAGGGGGAAAGCAAAAGGGAAGGCGAGAGAGCGCGAGGAGGAGGCGGCAGCUUGAGCAGCGGAUUGCUGAACUCUGCUCCACAAAGGCAAGGUGGAAGCUAACAUUGCAUUCAGGUUGUGCUGUGACUUUAAUCCAUGAGAGGUGGCGAGGAGACACUGGAGGGGCCUAAAUGAAGAAUGGGAGGGAAAGGUGGAGGAAUGACACUUCUCCACUCCCCACUGCCCAGCAGACUGACUUCAGCCCGAGUUUCUUCUUAAGUCUUCAGCGUGGUGCGGAUGCUGCGGAAAGCUGGCUGCUCAGUCGCCAGAGCCCACAGACUUCCUAAAAACGAAACGGGCUGUCGAGUAAAACCAAGGCUGGAAAAGGGGACUAUUAAAAAAAAAAAAUGGUUUAAAUAAAAAUAUAAAUAGGAGCUUGCUCUUGAGAGAUCCUGGUUUUAGAAGUGGCCACUCCUUGGCCAAACACGAAGGUUUGCGGCCAGCUGACAAAAGAAGAGUUAAGAGCAAAGGUUUUUAGAGGAAGAGGGUAUGUGUAUGGGAUUUCUUUUAUUGCUUUUCUUUUUCUUGUAGUGUAGCUGGGAUCCGCAGUGCUGCAGAACACAUGUUCCUUAGGAAGCAGAUGAGAAAACUAGUAUUAUGUUUUUAUGAAGACUCACGCAUCCACCUCUAUAUGAUGCAUCAUUAGCUUGUGUUUGAUACUGAAAUAUAUGCACCCAUAGAAUUAAGGAGCUCACCGGCUUCCAGUUUGAUUUUUUUUUUUUUUUUUUUUGGUUCUCUGGUAAAAUAGCAGAGGGAGCCAGCAACCCAGGGCAGGUGCUUCUCCCCCCAUCUGUUCUGUAAGUGUCAUGUGUCCUGGUGUUCUUUUGGCUAGCUUUUCUGUUUUUUCAUGGUGAUGAUGUAAUUCAUAGAACAAUCUGCUCAGAAUCUCAGCAGGCUGUAGACAGAGGGCUUCAAGCCUCAUGAUACAGAGGGGAAAGGUAGUUACUACAGACCUUCUGAUGCUUGUCCUUUGGGCAAAUUCAUCUUCCUUCCUUUGUUGGGGGAUGCUGUCCAUUUCCUUUAUUUGCUAGAAGGGGAAUGUUGAAUUAUUUUGUUGACUUGUCAUGAAUUAAUCCUGGCCAAGAGAAGCAAAAGGCCUUUUUAGUAGGCUCUCUUAGCACUAAGAGGCCCCCUGAUUUCUGUGUCCUGAUCAAGAGGAGGGCAGGGACUCGGUCAUUAUUGUGGGAUAUUGGGAUCAGCUUUUAGCUGAAGUCCCUCCAACUACAAAUCACUAAAUUUGGUCCUGGGGCUUUACGGUUUGUUAUCCCUACCCUCCUGAGGGACAGAGUAGACAGUAUAUUAAAAGAAGGCAAUGUUGUAAUGGCUUCUAAGGGAAAAGGAGGGCUACAUUAUACCUUGAUCCUUUUUCAGUGGAAUGAUGAAGGACCCGUAAGCUAUAGCACUGAGCGGAGUUACUGCCUUGCUCUGGAAAUCCCUCCACUCCCCUUUAAAGGAAGAGCCUUAAAUCAAUCCCACCCCCUGACUAGAGCAGCUAAUCCAUGAUGCAGGAAAAGGCCAUUCAUACUUUCCCAGGGUUUGUCUGGACAAAUAGUUUUCUUCCUUCCUUCACCAUCCCAACCGCAUGUGUGGGUGGGGUGUGGGGACUGAGACAGGCGGGGGUGAACACUGUCUCUUAUCGUUUCAGAACAUUUUUAGGAGGGCACUAAGCUAGUGAGUCAGGCAGAGAGGAAAAGCUUUGAUAUUUUAUUCAGAUUUUAAAAAAAAAGGCCACGCUGAGAGCAAACAGGACAUUACAAUUAUGCAGUUUUCAAAAGAGAAAUACAAAAAGUUAUGCAUGCCUUCUUCAGGUCUGAUCUUUCCUUGUCUCUUUACCUAUUGAUUAUUAAUGAUUAAAAAAGACCCUCUGUAUUUAGUAACUGCAUCUUUCAGAGAAAACUUAACAAAUGGUUGGGUUGUUUUGGUUUUGCACAGUCUUGGAGACAAGCUCUCUGUUUAUUCUUUUAAGUUAAUGAGAACUUUAGCUUGGUAUGGCCAUUAUCAGACAUAGCUGUACACCUUUAGCAUUCUUAAUGUUCUCUUAUGGGGCUAAUAUAAGCAUCUAUAUAAUAUAUAUUAUAAAUAUCACAUUUUAAACAGGAAAUGGAAGGCAUUUGAUGCAGAAUUUUUGCAUGAUUUAGAAAUAAUUAAAACAAAGUUUAGCUAGUGUUUGUUUGGUCUGAAUGUUGGUAAAAUCUUCAUAGCUUUGUUACAAUGAAACCUUGAACUGAAAAUAUUUAAUAAAAUAACAUUUAAACAGGG